GUGAGUGGAGGGGUGGCUUCCCAGCCUUAAAAGGCUGGAGGAAACUCCGCCCACAUGGUGGACCCGCAGCACCGUAAGGUGCAGGGUGAGAACCCUAACCCAGCAUAGAAACGGCACCUCCAGCAGGAGAUGGCGAUGAUAUGUGGGGUUUAAGCCUAAAACAUUGAUGGACCCUGCUGGAAUGGUUGAAACGGCUGGGUUGCGGGGUGCAAGGACAAAUAGGCAUUGAUGAGGUUUCCACCCUGAGAUGCGGGUUGUCCGCUUAGCCAUAUGCCACCUAAAACAGAAGGCGGGUUACCCUCCACACAC
rnacentral:RNase_P_RNA from 1 species